UAUGGGACGAACCUUCCCAUUGCCGCCGCCGGCGUGCCUCGUCUCGUCGUCGUCGUCCCAGACCCACCGCUCGUCGCCGCCGCCGCCGCCGCCGGCUCACCAAACCUGUCGUCUUUACCUCGCCUGUUUGUUUCUUUAACUAUUUUUUUUUCUUGUUGCAAUAAUGAAGCAUGAACGGCAGACUGAAAGAUUGGAUGCUUGAGGAACAUCCGAUCCCAAGUGUCCAUGGCGUGCCUCGUCUCAUCACUAUUAUAUUAUCCAGGAUGUGGUGCCUCUCGCGGCCGGCGGCGGCUCAUCGAUUCUACAUUUUCCAUCACCCUACCUCGUUUUCUGUUCGUAUACGCAAAUAUAAAAUGUAAAUAAAUACUCUGAGGCUUCCUCUGCUUUUUUUUAUUUUACCAGAUUUAUGUCGAUGCAUUAGACGGGACCAUGAUUUUUUAUCUACAUCUAUUGCUGAAAAUUAUUUUAUUUUACUUUGGGGCUUCCUCUGCUUUUAUUUUAUUUUAUUUUUUAGCAGAGGGCUUCCUCUGCUUUUAUAAUCACGGGCUGCGUAUGCAGGAGUUGGGUGGGCUUCACAGCCUCUUUCGCAGAAGCAGCGUGCACUGGGCUGAGUCCAUGAGUGGCCCAAAGUGCAACCAACGGCUGUGGGGGAGAGGACUCUAGCACAACAGAAACAUAGGACACUGUUGGGCAGUGAAUACACAUCCUUAAAUCCAAACUUCCAAGUUGAAUUUGGAGUUUAUGGAGUAAAAUAAACAAAUUAUGUUUAAUACGAAUAAAAGAAUAAUUAAUUUGCAUAACCGAAUGCCUCAGUUUCUCUCUCUCCUGAUGAAGCAUAGUUUUUCACACGGUAUGGGUACUCCAAUUGGCUAAAAAGUUGACUACUUAUUAUUGCUCUAUCUCCACUAUAAUUGAAAACUUCUUGGGUCAUUAGACCAGACAAACUCACGCCCCAACAAACUCAUCUCCACCGCAGCCCACUAAUUCGGCCCACUAAUCUCUACCAUAACCAGAUCAAAACACGCAUCUGGCUCAGGGAGUGAAUUUUGCACGCAUGCAUGCAUGCAUGCAAGAGACAGUUUCUGUCGCAAAAAUAUUAUACUAUUGGAGUAAUAUGUUGUGAUUUUGGUUGAUCCUUUUUUUAAUAAUAAAUAAUAAAUAGCUGCAGUAGCCGGUAGGUGCUGUAUAUGGUCCCUACUGGAGUACAUACAAGAGAAAACAUUUUUCCUCCAAAGGCCAGCCUGGUUACAGUACGUGACAUGUACCGUGAUCAU
rnacentral:lncRNA from 1 species